rnacentral:rRNA from 1 species
GAUGAACGCUGGCGGCGUGCCUAAUACAUGCAAGUCGAGCGAAUGGAUUAAGAGCUUGCUCUUAUGAAGUUAGCGGCGGACGGGUGAGUAACACGUGGGUAACCUGCCCAUAAGACUGGGAUAACUCCGGGAAACCGGGGCUAAUACCGGAUAACAUUUUGAACCGCAUGGUUCGAAAUUGAAAGGCGGCUUCGGCUGUCACUUAUGGAUGGACCCGCGUCGCAUUAGCUAGUUGGUGAGGUAACGGCUCACCAAGGCAACGAUGCGUAGCCGGCCGGAGAGGGUGAUCGGCCACGCUGGGACGGAGACACGGCCCAGACUCCUACGGGAGGCAGCAGUAGGGAAUCUUCCGCAAUGGACGAAAGUCUGACGGGGCAACGCCGCGUGAGUGAUGAAGGCUUUCGGGUCGUAAAACUCUGUUGUUAGGGAAGAACAAGUGCUAGUUGAAUAAGCUGGCACCUUGACGGUACCUAACCAGAAAGCCACGGCUAACUACGUGCCAGCCGCCGCCGUAA